GAAACAACAAUAAAAAAAAAAAAAAAAAGUACAGGAAAAUUUCGACUGUAAAACGAUUUUUCAGUAAAUGAUGAAAAAAGUAAAUUAAAUAUUUAAAGAGUGAAAGAAGGAAUGCAAAAUCAUUAAAAAUUAAAGAAAAAAAGGAUAAAGUAAAAUUACACGGCACACGAAAUAGAAAACAUGAGAGGAAUGAUUUACAGUCGGAAAUAACUGAUGACGGUCGUAGACAGUUACAUUUAAGGAUAUCCAGCGACAGUUAAGCUGAAAUGACAGAUGGCAGCGGACUUUGGUCUCUCCGUAAUCUCACCAGCGACUGCUCAUGUUCGAGAGAGGAGCUUAACUCCGGCAAAUGUCAGGAUCAUGGAAGUUGCACGUUCCCUGGGGUAUGCCAUUUAAUUGUCUGCUUAUAUGUGUCAUCUCCCACUUCAACACGUUACUCAAGUUCAGAUAGCGCUUUUCUCUGGCGCGCUCUUUCACACUGUAAAUCAAAACAGAUCAUACGAUCAUCAACAGGCCCGAGGCCUACCCGAGGAAAGUUGAGAAUUUGUGAGUUCCUUUAGAAGGAAACGUUUUCUACUAGCCAUUCGCUCGAUGACGUCAUAUUCCCUUUAAUGUAACUGCCACG
rnacentral:lncRNA from 1 species